rnacentral:rRNA from 1 species
UGCGUAGGCGGCCGAUUAAGUCAGCGGUGAAAGUUUUGGGCUCAACCCAGAAAUUGCCAUUGAUACUGGUCGGCUUGAGUAUUGCAGGGGUACAUGGAAUUGAUGGUGUAGCGGUGAAAUGCAUAGAUACCAUCAGGAACACCGAUAGCGAAGGCAUUGUACUGGGCAACCACUGACGCUGAUGCACGAAAGCAUGGGGAGCGAACAGGAUUAGAUACCCUGGUAGUCCAUGCCGUAAACGAUGAUUACUCGCUGUUAUGCUCUUGUAGUGUAGCGGCCAAGCGAAAGCGUUAAGUAAUCCACCUGGGGAGUACGCCCGCAAGGGUGAA